rnacentral:lncRNA from 1 species
UCAGAGAUGCCUUUACAUCAGACUCUGAAUUUGAUCUAAUCAAUUCUGAUUCUGUUGGUUUUCUACCUAUCAAGCUUCACCAAGCUUGUUCUUAACAACAUCAGUUCCUUCACCAAGAAACUUCUUUUUCAAAAAGAAUGCCUUAAGAUUCAUGAACAUCUCAUAUCCAUCAGGAAGGUAGAAGAAAUAUCUCUAAAAUA